rnacentral:rRNA from 1 species
UGGGGAAUAUUGCACAAUGGGCGCAAGCCUGAUGCAGCCAUGCCGCGUGUAUGAAGAAGGCCUUCGGGUUGUAAAGUACUUUCAGCGGGGAGGAAGGGAGUAAAGUUAAUACCUUUGCUCAUUGACGUUACCCGCAGAAGAAGCACCGGCUAACUCCGUGCCAGCAGCCGCGGUAAUACGGAGGGUGCAAGCGUUAAUCGGAAUUACUGGGCGUAAAGCGCACGCAGGCGGUUUGUUAAGUCAGAUGUGAAAUCCCCGGGCUCAACCUGGGAACUGCAUCUGAUACUGGCAAGCUUGAGUCUCGUAGAGGGGGGUAGAAUUCCAGGUGUAGCGGUGAAAUGCGUAGAGAUCUGGAGGAAUACCGGUGGCGAAGGCGGCUCUCUGGUCUGUAACUGACGCUGAGGCUCGAAAGCGUGGGGAGCAAACAGG